ensembl:lncRNA
GGACUAUUCUCUCUCAGAUUCUUUGCUCUAAAAUAGAUGAAACACUUGCUCUCCACUUUUUAAAGUAGCUCCACUGCCCUAGAAUGCAGUCUCCCAUGUAUUUUAAUAACUGAAUUUAACUCCAAAUAUUCCCUUAAAUUAGUUGCUCACUUUUAAAAUCAAUUCUCUCCUUGAAGGCUAACACUUCUUUCUUGGGAGACUAAGACACAGGAAAUACAGUGUCUCCAAGGAGGCAGCUAUUUGAUUUCACCAGGCUGGGGUGGUUGUGGGGGAAUGGGCAAUAAGGAAACAGGAGGGGGCAUCCAGCUGUGCACUUGGCUAUUCUUCACCCUUGGAAUUUAUAUAUGAUAUGGAGAUAAAUUGGACUUCCCUGGUGGUUCAAUGAGGCUGGAAGUCCAAGAUGAAGCUGUUGGCAGUGCUGAUUUCUUCUGAUGGCUGCCAGGGAGGAUCUGCUCCAUGUCUCUCCCCUAGCUUCUGCUGCUUUGCUGGCAAUCUCUGGAGUUCCCUGACUUCUGCUACAUCACCCCCAUCUCUGCCUUCAUCUUCACAUGGGAUUUGUUCUCCCUGUGCGCCUGUGUCCAAAUCUCCCCUUUUUGUAAGGACAAGUUGGAUUAGGGGGAUACCGAACUCCAGUAUGGCAUCAUCUUGACUUAAUUACAUCUGCAGGGAAGGACCCUGUUUCUAAAAAAGGUGACACUCCUGAAGGUAUUAGAACUUCAACAUGUAAAUCAGGGUGGGGGGCAAAUCCAAUAGACAACAGCUAGUAUUAUUACUGUUAACUUUAAUACUAUGCUCAGUUCAGUUACCAUAUAAAUAUAUCUAUCUUUCAAGUUGUUAUUUUGAAUUCAUUUCAGACAGAAAAAAAAAACUUCAAAAAUACUAUGUUGCCUUGUAACUAUUACCCAGCUUCUCCUAAUGUUAUCAUCCAUAAUC